AGGCACUAUAACUAGUAGAAUUCUUUAUUAAAUGGAUAAAAGGCACCUACCCAACCGCGUAGAAACUAUACCCAUCAAGGUGCCAAGACUGGAUGGUCGUUUCUGUGUUCUGGAACACAAUUUCAACGAAGUCAUGAAGUGUAGUUCCAAUAACAGAUGUGCCGAAGGCUGCUGGGGCAUUUGUAGGUGCAUCCUUAAUGGAGUUCAAGGUAAAGACACCAGGAAUGUUAAACCAGUCAGCAAGCUUCAAUGGGG
rnacentral:misc_RNA from 1 species